rnacentral:rRNA from 1 species
GAUGAACGCUAGCGGCAGGCCUAAUACAUGCAAGUCGAACGGUGUCUUCGGACAUAGUGGCGCACGGGUGCGUAACACGUAUGCAACCUACCUUACAUUGGGGGAUAGCCUUUCGAAAGGGGGAUUAAUACCGCAUAAGACAGUAACUAGGCAUCUAGUAGCUGUUAAAGAUUUAUCGAUGUAAGCUGGGCAUGCGUCCAAUUAGCUAGUUGGUGAGGUAACGGCUCACCAAGGCAAUGAUUGGUAGGGGAACUGAGAGGUCAAUCCCCCACACUGGAACUGAGGUACGGGCCAGACUCCUACGGGAGGCAGCAGUAGGGAAUAUUGGGCAAUGGACGCAAGUCUGACCCAGCCAUGCCGCGUGCAGGAUGAAGGCGUUAUGCGUUGUAAACUGCUUUUAUACAGGAAGAAACGACUCUUGCGAGAGGCAUUGACGCUACUGUAUGAAUAAGCACCGGCUAACUCCGUGCCAGCAGCCGCGGUAACAC